UGAAUACGAGAUGCUACGGCGUCGAAGCAGUCUAUGUCAUACUUCCAAGAAAAGCUUGCACUGUCAUAAACAAAUAAUGCCUGUACCAUAACCGACACAGGUGGGUAGGUAGAGUAUACUAAGGGGCGCGAGAUAACUCUCUCUAAGGAACUCGGCAAAAUGACUCCGUAACUUCGGGAGAAGGAGUGCCUUAUUUAUAAGGUUGCAAUAACAAGAUCCAAGCAACUGUUUACCAAAAACACAGGUCUCCGCUAAGUCGUAAGACGAUGUAUGGGGGCUGACGCCUGCCCAGUGCCAGAAGGUUAAAGAAGUUGGUUAGCAUCCGCGAAGCUGAUAACUGAAGCCCUGGUGAACGGCGGCCGUAACAAUAACGGUCCUAAGGUAGCGAAAUUCCUUGUCGGGUAAGUUCCGACCCGCACGAAAGGCGUAAUGAUUUGGAUACUGUCUCGGAGAGGGGCUCGGUGAAAUAGACUUGUCUGUGAAGAUGCGGACUACCUGCACCAGGACAGAAAGACCCUAUGAAGCUUUACUGUAACCUGAAAUUGAAAUUGGACUUUACUUGCGCAGUAUAGGUGGGAGGCGUUGAGAAUAUUCUUGCGGGAUUAUUGGAGCCAUCAGUGAGAUACCACUCUUGUAAUGUUAGAUUUCUAACUUUGUAUCAUUAUCUGGUCAAAGAACAGUUUCAGGCGGGCAGUUUGACUGGGGCGGUCGCCUCCUAAACGGUAACGGAGGCGCACAAAGGUUUCCUCUGAACGGGUAGAAAUCGUAUCUAGAGUGUAAAGGCAUAAGGAAGCUUGACUGUGAGACCUAUAAGUCGAGCAGGGACGAAAGUCGGUCUUAGUGAUCUGACGGUGCUGAGUGGAAAGGCCGUCACUCAACGGAUAAAAGUUACUCUAGGAUAACAGGCUGAUCUCCCCCAAGAGUUCACAUCGACGGGGAGGUUUGGCACCUCGAUGUCGGCUCAUCGCAUCCUGGGGCGGUAGUACGUCCCAAGGGUUGGGCUGUUCGCCCAUGAAAGCGGUACGCGAGCUGGGUUCAGAACGUCGUGAGACAGUUCGGUCCAUAUCCGGUGUAGGCGUUAGAAUAUUGAGAGGAGCCUUCUUUAGUACGAGAGGACCGAGAAGGACAUACCUCUGGUGUACCAGUUAUCGUGCCAACGGUAAACGCUGGGUAGCUAUGUGUGGAGUGGAUAACCGCUGAAAGCAUCUAAGUGGGAAGCCCACCUCAAGAUAAGUA
rnacentral:rRNA from 1 species